GAAGAACAACAAUCGCCAGAAAUCGGGAGUUUGGCAACUCCAGAUGAUGUUACUUCAUCUUCGACUGAACAGGAGAGAAGGAAACGUCCGCCGACAUCAGUCUGUCUUCGGCCAGUGGUGGAUUUAUAUCCAAAGGAAGCACUUCCAAAAGUAAAUCCUGUGAAAAUUAAAGAAAGAGGACGGCGUUGUCUGCUUAGCGUCGAGGAACCGACGAAAUUUGAAGAUGCAAACACGGAGGAGUGUUGGCAUUGUGCUAUGGACAAGGAGUUGGGAUCGAUCCAGGACAACAAAACAUGGGAGCUCAUGGAUCCACCCAAUGACCAUAAAAUCAUAGGGCUCAAGUGGGUGUACAAAGUCAAGAAAGAUGCCGAAGGAAACUUGGUGAAGCAUAAAGCAAGGCUCGUAGCCAAAGGAUACAUACAAGAGCAAGGUGUAGACUUCGAGGAAGUAUUCGCUCCUGUCACAAGGAUGGAAUCGGUGAGGCUAGUUAUAGCUCUCGCAGCUCAAGAAUCUUGGAGGCUACAUCACAUGGAUGUAAAAUCCGCUUUUUUGAACGGGGAGUUGAAAGAAGAAGUAUAUGUGAAGCAACCACCGGGUUACAUCAAAAAGGGAGAGGAGCACAUGGUGUUGAAACUACACAAGGCAUUGUAUGGGCUAUGCCAAGCUCCUCGGGCGUGGAACAUCAAGCUUGAUCGUACACUAGUUUCUCUUGGUUUUGAGAAAAGUCCACUUGAGCAUGCUAUGUACAAGCGAGGUAAAGGCAAGGAUCGUCUUCUAGUGGGCAUCUAUGUUGAUGAUCUCUUGAUAACUGGAGCAGAUGAGGAGAAGAUUGCUAGAUUCAAGCUACAAAUGAAAGAGCUUUUCAAGAUGAGUGAUCUAGGGCUCUUGACUUACUAUCUCGGGAUAGAGGUACAUCGAAAGCCGGAGGGAAUCACACUAUGCCAG
rnacentral:rRNA from 1 species